rnacentral:tRNA from 1 species
GGUUAUAUUUUGUAAUGGUUAGCACUCUGGACUUUGAAUCCAGCGAUCUGAGUUCAAAUCUCGGUAGGACCA